UAUUUCUGACCGUGCGAAGGUAGCAUAAUCAUUAGUCUUUUAAUUUGAGGCUCGUAUGAAUGGUCGGACGAGGGAUAAACUGUUUCCAGAUAAAAAACUCGAAUUUAACUUUUAAGUGAAAAGGCUUAAAUAUUUCAAAAAGACGAUAAGACCCUAUAAAUCUUAACAUUAAGUUUCAUGUAAUUCUAAUUCAUUAGUAUAAAGAAAUUCAUGAUGAAAGUGUUACGUUGGGGCAACGAAGAUAUAAAAAAAUUAACUGUUUCAUUACUUAAACAAAAAUUAUUGAACUACUAGAUCCUUUUUAAAGAUUUUAAGAUUAAGUUACUUUAGGGAUAACAGCGUCAUUCUUUUUGAGAGUUCCCAUCGAAAAAAGAGUUUGCGACCUCGAUGUUGAAUUAGAAAAUCUUUAUGGUGCAGCAGCUAUAAAAGAAA
rnacentral:rRNA from 1 species